UUAAAGGGGCCGCGCUCGAUCUCGCGCGCGGGCGGGCGCCGCGUGGAAGUGGACCACGCUGCCUGCCGUUCCCUGUGCUGUCGGGGCUGCACCCGGAACCCUGCACCCUGCUUCGCCUGUCCACGUGCGGCCUGCUUGACUUGCCGCUGGACGGCCCUGCCCCAGGGCCAAAGACCUCCACCUGGGUUACCUGCACCGUUCAUGACUUCCCAGAACACUGUUCUUAACCAGGCCGCGUUUGUGUUUUUUUUUUUUUUUUUUUUUUUCCUAGCCUGUUCUAGGGGACCAGGGUCAUUGUUUUCUGAUCCGGGUUUCACCAGCAACCCCAGUCGCGAUCGCCUUGUUUUUAUUAAUGUCUUUUCCUCCUCCACCAACAGCCAUGGAUAUAGCCUCCAAUGAGCGAUGAUCAAAAAUGUAGAGAGCCGCCGUUUAAUUUUUACAAAAACGAUUGCUAUUUUGACCAGUGCUGGGAGAGGUGCUUAGGAUCCCCUGGCUGAAGGGGAAAGCUAUCCCUCUUGGAUUGGGUGAGGUCAAUAUCUGCACGCCGAGGCCCGAUUCUCCGCCAACAAUUUUCUGUGCUAAGAGAAUGUCGAUUCCUAUUUUUUUAUUGGAUUCCACUCGGGCUUAUAUUCAAGGCUCCCAGAUUAAAUCAGCAGGAAUUCGACAACAUUAGUUAUUUUAAGUUUGCUAACAGAGCUAAACCUGCCUUGUUACUGGGGCUGCCGCUUGCGGUGCAAAUGAGGAUGGUAAUGAGGCCCACAGUAUUUCUGUUGCGGAUAUAUUGGGCUGGUUUUCAGCAGUCGUUGCAACCUCCGUCUACCUCCUAGUGUGUCUUCUGGUUCGCGAAGUGCUGAGAUUAAGACAUGAGCCACCACCACCGCCGGAACCUGUGCUUUUGAUAAGAUCGGACCGUCAGAGUGUGAAGGCUAUUGCUCUGCCUGCACUCAGGGUGACUCCAAACCCCAUCUCUCUCCAAGAGCCAGAGGCAAAGACCACAGAGGUUCCAGGUAAACCGGACUCUCUAGAGCCUGGGGUCUUAAACUCUUGAGUCACAACCCUAUAUGGGAUCAUGAAACGGAACAUGGGGCAUGGAGUAGAAAAAAAAAAAGGCAACUGUCAACGGUCUCUGAACAUGCAAGACUAA